rnacentral:rRNA from 1 species
CCAAUAGCGUAUAUUAAAGUUGUUGCAGUUAAAACGCUCGUAGUUGAAUUUCGGGAUCAGUGGGUCGGUCGUGCCACUGGUAUGUACUGGCCCUACUGGUUCCUCCUUCUUGAAGAACUGUGAUGCCAUUAAUUUGGUGUUGCAGGGAAACAGGACUGUUACUUUGAAAAAAUUAGAGUGUUUAAAGCAGGCAAUCGCUUGAAUACAUUAGCAUGGAAUAAUGAAAUAGGACGUUCGACCCUAUUUUGUUGGUUUCUAGGAUUGACGUAAUGAUUAAUAGGGAUAGUUGGGGGCAUUAGUAUUCAAUUGUCAGAGGUGAAAUUCUUGGAUUUAUUGAAGACUAACUACUGCGAAAGCAUUUGCCAAGGAUGUUUUCAUUAAUCAAGAACGAAAGUUAGGGGAUCGAAGACGAUCAGAUACCGUCGUAGUCUUAACCAUAAACUAUGCCGACUAGGGAUCGGAUGAUGUUAAUUUUUUAAUGACUCAUUCGGCGCCUUACG